rnacentral:lncRNA from 1 species
AAACGCAUAAACGAGCCUCUAAACAAAAUUUCAAAGAUGAAUAAGCAGAUUCAAUUGAUCAGAAUAACUGAAACUUAAACAGUAAAAACAGAAGAUACAAAUCUCCCGGUUAUGAUUCAUUACUAUGCCAUGUUCAUCGGUAGUAUUAAAGAGUCGCAUAUGUCUUCGCUUGUUGCAGAUUUGUUACUAUGCAAAGAUCUUCCCAGGAGUUAAGCAUGGCUUUGCUUGCAGAUACAAUGAUACCAACCCGUUCGAAGUCAAGACUGCCGAACAAGCUCUUGUCUUAAUGCUUGACUGGUUCGGCAAAUAAUUGAAAUGAGAAUAGCUAAUCUUCGGUACAACUGUUUCAUCCAAAUAAAAAACUUGCUUGCAUCUAUAUGUAAAUUAAUUUUCACAAUCAGUCUUUAUAUGUGUACUGGCUAUGAUCUUGGAUUGUAUGUGGACCAUAUUUACCAAUUGCAAUCUUUAUCAACCACCUUGUUAUCCGUAGGACUGCUGGGGUAUUUAGCUAGUUUGACACGAGGAGACUGUGCGAGGAUUCUGCUUAAUACUGUUCUUUUAGGGUAUUCGAGUCAGGAAAAAAAAUACUUGACAGUAUGGUUGCCAGUCUGAAGCGGAGCUCAGAUCUACAACUACAAACCACGCCACGUUGCCCUCAUGAGUCCUGCCUGGCAUAGAGUCAGCUAUGUACUGUAGAUGCAGUCCACACUUGGCCAAGCGCCGAAGCCAGAUAUGACCAGUGAUCAGGUCAGUAGGUCACACAGAUCUGAGCCUGUAGGCUGUAGUAUCCUUCUCUGUCAUGGGAAAUAUAUAACCGGUUCUGGAGCUCCAUUACUCCAGGUUACAACGGAACUAAGACUACAUAUAUAGCCUCUUUUGCAAGAGCAAAGGCGCUACCUCGUUCGUUCCCUGACGGACCGCCAGAGUCUUUACACUCUGGUUUCUGAAUAUGCCACACAUGAUAACCUACAUAUGUGGCAUAGACGGUUUCAUUCUUCGAUAAAUUAAACCUCCCAUUAUAACUGUAUUGUCCUGGCAACGGUCUCACCAAUGUAAACAAUUUUCUUUUGUAGUGGCCCAAAUCCUCACGAUCCGGUUGAAACCAGUGAAAACCAUGUUGCACCCAGUUUAAAAUUCCUAACAAAUAUAUUAGAAAAAACAACGGUGUGCUGGAGUCCUUAUAAUUUUGAAGGAAAAUUAUGUGGUGAAAAUUAUUUAUCACUAGGUAACUAAACUAGUACGAUCACAUUGCUGAGCUAAACAAAAAUGGUUAACUCCCUGCAAGGUUAUUCUUAAGCACGAGCUCUAGGGAUAGGCCGACCCGCUACCAUCGAUCAGGAAAGGCGUGUCUAGGUGAGAAAACAGUGGUACAUGUGUGGCUCAUUGUACCUAAGUGAGAAUUAUGAGUUUCCAAAUAUCUCUUGGGACAUAUCUUACAUUUAUGUACUACUAAACUUGCAUCAUUAUCCUUUUUCCUUAUUGCUAAUAUUUAUUAAUCGGUUUUUAAUAGUAACCUGCAAAUAUAUUUAAUAGUAACCUGCAAAUAUAUUAAGAUAUAUCUUAUCUAGAUGAGACACCAAUAUUAUCUCAAUGUGUCCACCUCUUUAUAUAAGCACUUGUAUACCCAAGCACAACACGUACGUGUCUCCAUCGUCACACUUUGGAGUAACAUAGUCAUGGUGAAGGGCAAGACAACAAAGGGUAGGCAGAAGAUUGAAAUCAAGGCCAUCCACAGUGAGAAGCCACGCCAUGUAUGCUCAAAGCGUCGCCAGGGCCUAUUUGGUAAGGCCAAUGAGCUUUCCACCCUAUGUGGCGCAGGUAUCGCCAUUGUUGUUUUCUCACCUGGGGGUAAAAUCUUCUCUUUCGGUAAUCCCUCUGUGGACUCUAUCAUUCAUCGCUUCCUCCCCAAGAGCAUCAAUGAUGCACAUGCAAUGGUUAGUGGAAGCAAAUGGAAAAGAAAAAAAAAAAAGAGAACGGACCGACCGAGAGCUCCAGCCGAACGAGCACGUGCUUGUUCUCCUCUGCAUGUAAAGAAAUCACUCCUUCCAUAUUUUCUUCCUUCGAUUUCUUUUUUUUCCGCGCAUCUUUCUCCGAAAGGAAACCACUCCAUCAAUCCUCACCAUCCAGGGAAUCCAUUCAGGAAAUCAAUUUGAAGUUUCCUCUCAUAAUCGCAGUUGCCAAAAGAGGUGCCCCGAAUGCCGACCGUCGACAUGCCACGCCCGAUCUCCCUCCUCGGCCACUAUAAAAGGAUUUCACGCGCGUCACUUUGAGCCUUUGCCUCUCCUCUCCCAUUCUCAUGUAGAAAGUUUAGUCUCAAAACCUCUGUACAGCCGGCUACGUCGACGUCUUCUUCCGCCAAUCACCACCACCAUUGUUGCCGGUGAGAUCACCCCGAACCUCCGUUCUUCGAUUCCUUUCACCGGUAGACUCAUGUGAACCUUACCUACCUUUGUGACAAGGUUUCGUGACCUCUUGAUGCCGUUGGCCGCGCCGUCCCCGAACCCAUGCCGAAGCCGCGUCCGGAGCUCCGCCCGUCGCCAUCCGGAGAUGCUACGACUGCGCAAGCCGUGUCACGAUGUCCGCCUCGAUGUCUUCCACGGCCCCACCGAACCCUACGUCGACAUCAUCGCUGUCCUUCUUCAACUCCGGCGAACUCCGUGUCUUCUCCGGUGAGCAACUUUUCAGCCGCAGCAGUUUUGAUUAGCCAUGUUUAGAAGCCCAUAUCUUUUGAUCAGUGUACCAUUUUUGGCCAAAUCUUUUUGUUGUAGUUAGAGAACGUCCACCUCUCUAUACCAGACCAGAUUGUAUACCCCGUCUCUUUGAUCUUCAGUACGGCAUCUUCGUGGGAAAUUGCUAUUCACAGUAUGUUGUUUCUGGAUUAGCCACCUUUCGAAAUUAAUAUAAAUUGUUUCAUUGAUCCGUUUGGUUCCAAGCCUUCUGUAGUUCAUCAAUUAGAUCAUUUUAUACACAUUAGUGUACACCUUGCACAACUUAGGAUUCAUCUACAGAGGUGCAUCUUCAAUCAAAAGUCGUAUCUGUUAACACUGUCACAUCAGUUAGCUAUCUUCCGGAGCCUAUAUCUUUUGAGACAUUACUUAAAAUUAGAUGAUUCUUUCUUUCAUGUCAAUAUAAAAUCCAAAUCUAAAUCCUAGACCUAUUUUAACACCUUUCCAAGUUCAUCCACACUAGUGCAUCGUCAUUGCAAAACAGUACCUUCAGCAGUUUCUCACACUGCCAAUUCUAAGCCUUAGUUACAGAAACUUUGUUAUAUAUUAGCCUUUUUUGUAAGCCUGUAUAUUUUGACUCACAACUCCUAUUUAGAUUAAACCAGUGUAUUUUGAAAGCUUGUUAGAUCUAGUUUAAUUCAUCACAUUGUCCCUCUGUCUUUUGAAGCCAUUAGCACCAGUACAUUUUCAGUAGAAGUUAGUAUCUUUAAUCUGUCAGAAUCAGACUAGCCAGAUUUGCAAGCCAGUAGCUAAUUCUCUGUAGAUCCUUUUGGGAUGAGACUUGUUGGGUUAGCAAGUACAAUAUUAAUACCAUACAGUAGUAUAAUUUUCAUCCCAUGUUCUGCCAUUUAGCACCAUUUUUCAAACAGCCAAAGUAUUUAAGUUAUAACAGUUCCUAUAGACUUAAAUUCCAGACUUAACCACUAGUCCAUGCCCAACCAAACUUUGUAUCUGUUAACACUGUCUUAUUGAUUAGCAAUGUUCCAAAUCCCAUACUUGUUGAUUCAUAUUUUCAAACCAGUUCAUUCUUUCUGUUGUGACAAGAGUACACCCAACUCUUGAUUCUGGACCACUUUGUGCACCUUUUUAAGUUCACCUACCAUAGCUCAUGACCCCUAGAAAACUGUAUCUGUUAACAGCCAAUGACUUCACCGUUUCAACUCCGAUAAAACCCAAGCCUUGUUCCUACCUCUUAGAUCUAUGCCUAAGAUAGCCUAACGGUAGUUAAGUACUGUUUAAUUUAAACUUUGUAUAUGUCUUUGGUUCUUUAUUUGGAGUUAUGAUUUGGAGUUGUCGAAUGGUUAUUUAUUAUUGCUUUUCGUUCUUCGCGAUAGAUUAUACGGAGUGCGGUAACUGUGAGUAUCGAAAAGAAGAAGAAUACAAAGACACUAAUCAGGCAAGUUCACUUUGACCAUCAUCCCAUUAUUUUAUUAUGCACUAGAUUUUGUUAGUUGCAUUGUCAGGAUUAUUACUGUAUCUAUGGUAGCUAUGAUCUGUCCUAAUAGUAUAGGAUACCCUUGUCAUAACCUUACCACCAAUUGCCAUCGUGGUAGUAAAAUGCUAUGCUAUGUUAAUAUACGAGGGUGGUAUUAUUAUAAUGUGAUACUAUUGAAUUACAAUAUGAUUUUCCUAAUGUAUGGCAAAACAAGUAAUUCAAUGAACCGUCCUGGGUGGGCUGCUUUGAGUUUUCGGAUGUCGUGACGUAGGUCCAUUUCUAUGGGGCCCGCUGAGUCGUCUCUCCGUGUGAUUCGAGAGCGUCCAUGGUCGUCUCCCCGUGCGAUUCGGGGAGCGCUUGCGUCACAAUGUGGGAUGCCACCCGGGGUAACCAGAAACUGGACUAGUUUCCUGUUUAGUAGCUUCCAGUACAACCACAUGGUAUUAUGGGCUCUGCCAGGAUGGAUGUAAGAAAUAUGAACCUGGAUCCGAGGUGACAUCGGUAUGUACCAGUGUAGGUUGGAACGCGUCCCUCAGGUGGUUUGGGGGAAUAUGUUCUGAAAAUUCCUGUAAUCGAUGCCGUUGCUACUCCACCUGGAGGACAGUAAGGGACUAACACGUCAAUUUCUUGUGGGUAAAGUGUACCACCUCUCGAGAGCGUCAAACUAAGUACUUAGCCGUGUCCCCGGUUACGGACAAUUAUGAGCAACUAGAUAUUGGGGCUGUAAGGAAGGUCUCACUCAUUCCAAUUUCAUAAUAAAACGAAUGAAUUGAACUGGGUAAGAGCAUUGAUGUUUCUACUCAAUGUGCAUAGGUUAAUAGUAGCAUGGGUGUUUCUACCCCGUGUUCAAUAGUGAUAAAACUAUUUGGUUAAAAAUGAUAGGAUCAAACAUUGAUGCUUUUACGCAAAAAAAGCCUGAACUCCACCUUGCCAUAUACUGCAUGUACUUGAUAGGUUCUGUUAUAACCCUUUGGUGAACUUGCCAAUACAUUUAAUGUAUUGACCCCCUAGUGGCUGCAACGUUUAAAUGUUGCAGGUGAACCAGGUGAAGAGUGAGGUACGAAUUGUUAGGGUUGCGAGUUUACAUUCCAACAUGUUUCGACUAUGGAGUUGUUAUGGGACUCCUGUAUCUUCUGCCUUCCGCUGCAAGAUUUUAUUUUCUUUUGAGAUAAUCCAUGAGGUUGUGCAAUAUGUAAGUUACUAAUAAAUUCUGGAUCAAUGCGAUGUAAUAUACUUUUGACCUUUGUAUCUUGAUAUUACAUCUUGAAACUGUGUGUGCUAGCGAGUCAAUCCAGGAACUAGCAUUGUAAGCACAGAGAUCGAACCUGCAAGGGGGAGGAUCGCUUCAUAUUUGGGCCACUGCUUGUGUGAUAAGUUUGUAGCAUUGUGCAAUUCAGUGGGUCCGUUGUCAAAUCCGACAAGUCUUGUGCACGCGAUCCUCUUCAUGGCCUCCUACGUACCGCUUUAAGAAAUCUCUCCUUUGGUUCCACAGCAGCCGUGGGACCUUGUAGUCACUAGAAAGUGUAAAAAAAAAACAAGACGCGGCCCAACAUGGCAUGAACCCAAUGUCGCACUGCCAGUUUGACUGGUAGCGGUAGCCCUGGCGGGGUAUUCGGGCCAUGCGCCGACUACCCCGGUGGUGGGGACGGGUAUAUAGAUCGGUGGUUAUUGUUUUGUUCGUAUAAAUUUGGAGUCGAGUGCUUCGGAUGAGGAAAGGAUCCACCCUACCUGCAAACUUUUUCAGUAUUUUCUCCCAUAACAGGAGUAUGCCGAGAGCGUCCUCUGCGUCGGAGUCGGUUAACACAAUUGCAUGCACCAGCCGAUAGAGAUGAUAAAUGACGGCAUGGCGAGUUCGAUGAUAAAUGCAGUUUCUUUUCUUCUAACCUAUGAUCUCGCCUUAUGGUAGAUCAAGCAACAUCGACAUAUGUGCGUCAUGUGAAUGUUGAAGGUGUUGGCUUGGAAGUUCGCUUGAGGGAUGACGAUCCCUUAUUUGACCAACAAGAUGUACAAAAUGUUCUUGUUGAAGGCGUUUGUUCGGAGUACUGCGUUUUGUAUUCAUCCCAUGUUGCUCAUGCUGAUGGACUUGGUCACUGGAAACUAGUUUGCGGUAGGUGACAGAUAAGAUAGUCACCGGCGGAGCCACCACCCGGCUACAUAGGGCAAUUUCCCAGGCUUGAUCUUCUGGCUUCUACUACCAAACAGAGCACGGUGAGUGAUUGACGGCUAUUUUUCUUGGGCAAAUUUACGUUGGAGCGGCUCCUUUUAGAGCUUCAAAAACCGGCUGACUCCGCCACCGAAGGCGGCAGUAGUCUUGAUGAAAGCAGUCUUUAGAAUAUGGUUUAUGCCUUCCAUUUGGAAUCGACACCGCCUUGUUAGUUGAUGAACGGUGAGAGUUGGGCAGAGCUAAUCUCAAUGGAGGCAUGAAGCGAGAUUUGACGGUCUUUAAGGUGCAUUUAAUGUUUGAUGCACAUAAUAAGUGUCUACGUCACCAUCCACAUGAUGCAACCCAUUUUGGUGGUAACUUCUGCAAUUCAAUCUUUUACUCCCUCCGUUUCAUAAUUCUUGUAUCAAAUUUGCCCAAAAAUGGAUGUAUUUAUUUCUAAAAAACGUCUAGAUACAUGUAAUAUUUUGACAAGAAUUAUGAAAUGGAGGAAUAGCAUUUAAGACUUUUCACGUAAAUAUUUCAUCAAGUAAUCAUAUUUUCUUGAUAUAUAUGUCGUUUUUUAUAAGGAUUGCAGAUAUUCAGGUUCACUUCCCGUAGCUUUCUUUGUUUUGUUUCCCCAAAGUAUAAGUAAUGUUCAUGUCCUCUUAUUAUUUUGUUGGGAUAGGUGUUUUGGAUAAUAAAGUCGUUUGGUUAUACAAUAUUCACAUUUUUUUCAUUUGAUUCUCAUUUGUUCCUAACAUUAUGUGCAAAUGUGCAAAUAAAAUUUUUUCUGUAACUCCGCGAAAUGACCAAAUAAAAGUAUCCGAGGAUGGCAGUUUCAAACAGCAGAAACCAGUAGCCUAUAUAAGUGCAGGGUUUAACACCUCAACAAUCCGUGCCUGCAGCAGCUAGUCAGAGAGCAAGUAAGAAACGGCGGAGUGCCAUGGCUGGGGCAUUUCUCUACCCGUGCCUGCUCUUCCUCGCCUCAAUCGCCACCGCUUCCUCGCACUCGCAGUGCCUCGACAACCCGCCGGACCUCAUGGCGCGCGGCCACGAGGCGGGCACGGUCGUCGCUGACCUCGCCGGCUUCAAGGCCUACGUCACCGGCGCUGCCCACUCCCACCGGGCCAUCGUCCUCGCCUCCGACAUCUUCGGUUAGUUCAUCCGAUUAAUCUCUGACUAGCUGUUGAUUCGAUGUGCUAGAGAAUACGAGUUACUGUGUCUGAAUUCAGCUGCUGCCUAAUACUGUUCUACAUAGCCUCUUUUGCAAGAACAAGGGCGCCACCUCGUUCGUUUCCUGACGGACCGCCAGAGUCUUUACAUUCUGCUUUCUGAAUAUGCCACACAUGAUAACCUACAUAUGUGGCAUAGACGGUUUCACAUGGAGUCGUCGAUAACAACUUCACAAAUGUUUAUAUUUAAGAAUCUUCUUCGAUAAAUUAAACCUCCUAUUAUAAAUGUAUUAUCCUGGCAACGGUCUCACCAAUGUAAACAAUUUUCUUUUGUCGUGGCCCAAAUCCUCACGAUCCGGUUGAAACCAGUGAAAACCAUGUUGCACCCUUUUUAAAAUUCCUAAAAAAUAUAUUAGAAAAAACAACGGUGUGUUGGAGUCCUUAUAAUUUUGAAGGAAAAUUAUGUGGUGAAAAUUAUUUAUCACUAGGUGACUAAACUAGUACGAUCACAUUGCUGAGCUAAACAAAAAUGGUUACCUCCCUGCAAGGUUAUUCUUAAGCACGAGCUCUAGGGAUAGGCCAACCCACUACCAUCGAUCAGGAAAGGCGCGUCUAGGUGAGAAAACAGUGGUACAUGUGUGGCUCAUUGUACCUAAGUGAGAAUUAUGAGUUUCCAAAUAUCUCUUGGGACAUAUCUUACAUUUAUGUACUACUAAACUUGCAUCAUUAUCCUUUUUCCUUAUUGCUAAUAUUUAUUAAUUGGUUUUUAAUAGUAACCUGCAAAUAUAUUUAAUAGUAACCUGCAAAUAUAUCAAGAUAUAUCUUAUCUAGACGACACACCAAUAUUAUCUCAAUGUGUCCACCUCUCUAUAUAAGCACUUGUAUAACAAGCACAACACGUACAUGUCUCCAUCGUCACACUUUGGAGUAACAUAGUCAUGGUGAAGGGCAAGACAACAAAGGGUAGGCAGAAGAUUGAAAUCAAGGCCAUCCACAGUGAGAAGGCACGCCAUGUAUGCUUCUCAAAGCGUCGCCAGGGCCUAUUUGGUAAGGCCAAUGAGCUUUCCACCCUAUGUGGCGCAGGUGUCGCCAUUGUUGUUUUCUCACCUGGUGGUAAAAUCUUCUCUUUCGGUAAUCCCUCUGUGGACUCUAUCAUUCAUCGCUUCCUCCCCAAGAGCAUCAAUGAUGCACAUGCAAUGGUUGGUGGAAGCAAUCAGAUCCAUGUAGAUCCAAAUAAUUUGCGUGCAUUGAGUCAGGAAUACUCAAAUCUGCAAAUGGUGAUGGAAGCAGAGCAGAAGAGAAAAAAGAGGAUACAAGAGGAAAUGGAGGAAAUGGAGAGGGAGAGUGAGGGACGUGUGAUGCGAUGGCUAAACACUGAUGUUACUGCGCUCCGUCUAGAAGAGUUGGAAGAGUUCCAUGGAGAGCUUACUGCGCUGGAAUGCAUGGUCAAUGGAAGGUUGUACUGGUUGCUGCAACAAGCCAAGAAAAUGAAGAAAACACUGCCGCAAUUCCAUGGCAAGGAAACGUCAACUGCACAAUUCAUGUCCCCGUUCAAGAAUGUCAUGCCAAUGUCAAGCACUCCUUUCAGUUCUACCAAUGGUCAGUUCAUCAUUUCACGGCUUUGAGGCCGAACACCUUUUGGAAUAAUAAGUACUCUGAUGAUAUAAGAUUGCAUCGCUGGUCAUGAAUGUAAUGUAGUGACCAAAAAUAGUACUCCGUAUUACAUUGUGUGUUUCCUUAUAUUAACUUCAUAUGUUUACACCUUGAUGCUAUCAAGUUAUGGCGGAUUCACAUGAGUCAUGCAUUCUCGUGAUUUUUCUCAACCAUGCAAUCCAUGUUCCAUAUGCGAAGAAAGUGUCACCGCCAUGUUGGUUGCGUGCAGCUUAUCAAUUCCAUGUUGUAGUCUAGCCCUUACAAUUUCAAAGAAAAAAUAUAGCUAGGUCAUUUUUCAAGCACAUCUGCAGUACUUGUCGGACCCAUGGGACCUGAUACCACCGAUAAUCAAGAAGGUCGCAUCGAGAUGAAAAAACAGCGGCAUAUGUGGUGCUCCUCAGACUUAAGGAUGGAGGCUGAUUUGUCAGAUAUCUCUAGGGACAUAUCUUACAUUUAUGGACUACUAAACUUGUAUGAUCAUUUUUUAGUACUAGAUAAUAUCUAUUAAAUGGUAAUAAUUAGUACCUUCCAAAUAUAUUAAGAUAUAUCUUACCUGGAUAGCUCACUAAUUCUUUGUCCACGUUUCCAUAUUUCUAUAUAAUAUUAUAAUUGCUUAUAUACCCAAUGACAACAUGUGUCUCUGGUAUCCACAUAGUUCGGAUUCAUACAUAUCCAACAAACAACACAAUAAUAAUGCAAUUGUGGUAAGAAUAAGAUAACCAAGGGUUGGCAAAUUAUCGAUAUAAAGGCCCUAGAGAGUGUGGGAAGGCACGCCAUGUGUGAUUCUCAGAGCACCCUCAGAGGGUAUGUGAUAUGGUGCCAACUAGAUCAUGACGUCUUGCAUUGUUGCACCAGUCAAUUUUGACAAUAGAAAGAUAGUAAAUAACACUAAUAUAUGGAGGCAUGGAAGGUGAAAGUUAAAUUUCCAUGAUCUAAGAUAUCUAUUUUACUACUUCCUCUGAUUCUAAAUUCUUGACUCAAAUUUGUCCAAAUAUGGAUGUAUCUAUUUUUUAAAAACAUCUAGAUACAUGUAAUAUUUCGACAACAAUUUAGGAUCGGAGGGAGUAGUAAUGUACGAGGUGAAUAUUUUUUAAUAGGGAAAUGUGAAUCAAUUUGUUUGAAGAUAUUUGGGCCACUGCUGCUUGUGUGAUAAGUUUGUAGGAUGUGAAAUUCAGUGGGUCUGUUGUCAAAUCCGACAAGUCCUGUACACGCGAUCCUUCUCAUGGCCUUCUACGACUUAUAUUAGGAACUUGACUUUUUGGAUCUUUUCCCUGUCUCAGCAAGAAGACCGCAAGUUCCAAGUUGAUCGAUCACCUCGUAAAUAGCCAUAUGAUACAUAAUGACUAACAUUGUGAUACAAUUUGGAGUCACAAGAACAACCAUAAGCAACAACAACGCCCAGUUCCAAAGCACAACUUUCAUCUGUGGCUCGUCCAAAGAGCACCAGCCCCAUGCUGCAAGAAACGAAGAAAUGCGCCAUCGAGCACCUCAAGUGGCACCAAAGAACUCUUGUUCCCUAAUACCCUCCGUUCUUUGGGCAGGUCAAACAACUACUAGCAGCGUCACUGGUGAAACUCCUUUCUUUCUAGUCUAUGGGGCCGAAGACACGCUUUCCUCUGAACUAAAGAUAGGAUCGCCGUGUUGAUUUAUAUUCUAACCUGUACAAAGUCCUUUGAUGAGAGGAUGACCUCAAUGAUGUUGAGGAAGAAAGGCAUGUCGCGCGCACUGAUACGAUCGAUCGGCCAAAUACCAACACACCCUUCGAAGCUACUAAGACCAGAAACAUUAAUAUGCAUUCAAAACUCUAGAAAAUUUGCAUAUGCCACCGAUUAAUAUUAUAAAGCUACCAUAAUUAUCUCGUAAUUGUAUUAGUGGAUUUAUGUGAAGCAAGGCCUAGCUUCUUAGGUUUGUACUACGGUACCAAGCGUUGCCAGUGACUUUAGUCCCACCUCGCUAGUGGGAGGGGGCUACGACCAGCAUAUAAGGGAGAGUAGCCACUCUCUCGUCAGUCCGGGCUUUCGGGAUGAGGAGGGCUCUUUACUUAUAUGGCCACCUCGCAAGUGGGAGUGGACCACGACCAUCAUAUAAGGGAGAGUAGCCACUCUCUCGUCAGGCCGGGCUUUUUGGGAUGAGGAGGGCUCUUUCCUUAUAUGGUUGUGCCGGAUGUGCAUGAACGCCUGAACACGACACGUGUGUGUGGACCUGGGCCUGGGAAGCUGGACCCCUGGCCCCUCCACACACACCCACUAUUUUUUCAUAGUCUACCCCCAUUGUUUGCUUGCAAAUCAAUUUCACACUCUUCAUAUUCCCAUAUGUUGUGUACCAAGCGUGUUUCUGUUGUUGCUAUUCUAAAGAAACAUUUCUCAGCAUUAUAGGCAAGUUUAUAGAAUUAGUUUACUUCCUUAAAAGGAGCUAGACUAGCUACAAGGCUGUGACAGGUCUUCUUACCGUGGCAGUCAAGUUCAUCCUCUCAUGAAUGCGACUAUAGCUAGCCAACGGACUGGGCCAAAUGAAAAAGCCUGCAGGGACAGCGGCCCGAACAAACUCAGGCUUGACCUGAUACGAGGUUAAACAGGCCGUGUUGGCCAGUGACCCGGCGUGGUACGUCCUGCCUAGACCUCAGCCUCAAACCUCGCUGGUCCGAGGAGGCCCUGGUCCGUUUAACAAUUUUUCACAUUUUUCCAAUGGGGCUGCCAGGCUAAACGGCUUGGGCAUGGGCUGGCUCAGCUGGUGCGCCGUGCCUGGGUCUAAGUUCCGCGGUAGUGGGUUGGCACGACACGACCCCUUUAUAAAUGGACCCAAUGGGCCCGAGCCAGGCUAGUCCGGUAAGUCGCAGACCAGGCCUAGGCCGAGCCGUUGGUAAGCUACAAAUGUGAUUUUUCAAAUUUGAGUAAAAUAAUGCUGUACGAAAAUUGUGAGUCAAACCUCAUAUCAGACAACAAAAUCGUGAAACAGGGGGCAAGGGUUUUAAGCAGGGUCAACUAACCAGAAAGUGAAAUUAAAGAAAAAGAGAAAAAAGAAACAAAAGCAAGCUCGAUGGCAACGUGGAGGUGACUCAACACAACAAUGCAUGCCAACAACCGCUCGCCGCGUGCUUCUUUACGGAUACGAACGCACGGCACAGCGCAGAGACAGCACGAGAUAGAGUGAGCAUCAAGCUUAGUUUGCAAAAAACCAUGGCUCGGGCAUUGCUCUACCCUUGUCUCCUCUGCCUCGCCGUUCUCACCGGCAACGCCGCCGCGCACUCGCAGUGCCUCGACAACCCGCCGGACCUCACCGCGGGCGGCGUCGAGGCGGGGAAGGUCGUCGAUGACCUCGCCGGCUUCAAGGCCUACGUCACCGGCGCCGUCCACUCCGACAAGGCCAUCGUCCUGGCCUCCGACUUCUUCGGUUAGUUCAUCCGGUUAAUAUUAAUGGAUUCCACGUGUGAGAGAGUAUGAGCUACCGUGUCUGAAUUUGGCUGGUGCCUUGUUUGAUUUUCUUUAGGAUUCCAAGCGCCGCUGCUGAGGUACGGCCUUCUCUUGCCGACUUUCUUUUCCUUGAUUCUAUGUUCCUCCUUUUCUCGUAAUGAGCAGAAAAUUUGUGAAGUGAAAUGGACCCAUGAGGUGCUCACGAAUUAAACCUACUGUACAGAAAAAUGAUGUGAAUGAGAAAAAUAAAUAUAAGGACUGUAAUUUUUAGUCAACCCUACCUGUAACUCUUUACCGUAGGCAUAAGAACUGCAGUAGCAUACCAACUUAUCAAGUUCUAGUACUGUACUAGAAAAAAAAAUUGGAAAUCUUCAGCAUAAAUGUGGUCGUCCUGUAGCAACACAUAUUUAGAGCACUUCUUAUCGCUGCAUUAGACUCAUCUGGCUUUAGUUCUCUCUGUUCCCUGGCUCUGCAAAUGAGUAUUGCCAUGUGAACUUUUGUUCCCAGGCAUUCUAGUUCUAGUAAUGACAUGUCACGCUCAAAGUAGGAUUAUUUCAACUUAUUGUAAUUUUACGUAAAAAAAACUUGUUAUAUCUGACUAGUAAAGGCAAAACCAGGGGCUGCUGUUCAAUCUACCGUAAUUGUCUACUUGUCUUCUUUAAAGCAAGGGAAGAGGCACUUGCCCACUGUAGUAUUUUUGUAGAAAACAGAGAUAGCAGAGUUGACCCAUAAAAUUCUAUUGCAAUAUGAUAGUUCUUUAUAUUAAAAGGCUUAAACUUGACCCGCAAAAAAGGGCUUAAACUUGGUCAUCCGUGUAUGUCAAUGAAGGAAAAUUGCUGACAAAGUUGGUGAAGCUGGCUAUUACGUUGCGGUGCCGGAUUUCUUCAAUGGACAACCUUACACGGAAGGAGCAAACAGAACAGAGUGGAUCCAGGCUCACUCCCCGGUAAUUUAUCUUUACAUAUAAUAAAAUUAUCCGAUGAUUAACGUUACCUAAUUAUUUGUUCUACCCAAUCAAUCGGUCGGCCUUACUUACAGGUAAAAGCAGCCGAAGAUGCAAAACCAAUCUUCGCAGCUCUGAAGAAGGAACGGAAAUCUGUUGUUGGAGUUGGGGGCUAUUGUUGGGGCGGUUAGUAAGACCAAACACAAGAAAACUAUGAGCAAAGAUGAAAUGUAUCAGGAACAAAAAUCUUGGAAAUCAAAGAAUCCACAUUUAGCAUUCCCAGAAAGAUCCUGCAUUUCGGCUUAGUUCGUAUUCAUUUUUCUGGGAUAACAUUUGGUUCAUACUCUCUUUCCUGUCCUGAUUAACUAACAGGGAAAUUCGCGGUGGAGGUGGCAAAAACGAACGAGGUAGAAGCAAUAGUCAUUUCCCAUCCUUCAGCAGUGACCGCAGAUGAUAUGAGAGGUGAACCCUUUUUACCUUCGGUACUCUUGUGGGUGAAGAACUAGACCAUUGUUCUUAAGUCUAGUUCAACUGCUACUCAGAGAUCAAGUGCCCCAUUGAGAUCCUUGGAGCUCAGAAUGAUACAACUACACCACCAAAUUUGGUAUAUCAGAUUGUCGAUGCCUUGCGUCAAAGAAGGCAGGUGAGUCCUUCCAGCCACUUUGGAUACCAAAUGCAUGCAAGCCUGAAAACAAAUUUGCAAAGACGAAGCAGCAGGUUCAAUCAGAAUAACUGAAACUUAAAUGAUAAACACAGAAGAUAAAAAACAAAUCCUGUUAUGAUUCACUUUAGAAGUCCAUGCCAUGCUUAAUUGGUGUACUGUUACACAUUUGGCACGUUCACAUGACUAAAAAUGAAAAAGGAUUGUACACUUUAAGUUUCGCCCUUGUACAAGGCACUUGAAUUGUAGGUUAACUGGAUAUCAUGGUUUACAUUGUUGCAGAUUCAUUACUAUGCAAAGAUCUUUCCAGGAGUAGCGCAUGGCUUUGCUUGCAGAUACAAUGAUACCAACCCGUUCGCAGUUAAGACCGCCGAACAAGAUCUUGCCUUAAUGCUUGACUGGUUCGGCAAAUACUUGAAAUGAGAAUAGCUCACCAUUCAACUUCAGUGCAAAUGUUUAAUCCAAAUACAACUUACUUGCAUCUAUAUGUAAAUGUCAUAAUCAAUCAUGGAGAUAACGUGUAUUGGCUACGAUUUGUGGGUACUUGCUUACCUUUGUAAUAUCUUCAUACUGCUACUCUAUUUGACUGAUUGUACACCGUGAAUGUAUAUGCAGCUUUACCGGUUGCAAUUUGCAUCAACUACCUACCUUUUUAUCCAUAGAAAUGCUCGGGUAUCUAGCUAGUCAUACACGAGGAGACUGAGGAUUCUGUGUAAUACUAUUCUUUUGGGGAAUUCAAACCAGCUGAAAUAGCUUAUCUUUUCGUUGCUGAGCCAGGAUAAACUUGCCAGUUGCCAGUCUGAAACUAAGCUAAGAUCUAGAACUACAAACCAUGCCCUGUUGCCCUAAUGUCUGGCAUAAAGUCAGCGCUGGAAACUAUACAGUACACAUUGGCCAAGCGCCCAAGCGGCCAAGCCAGAGAUGGACCAGUCAUCAGGUUACAGAGCUAGACAUGUAGCAUCCUUUCUCUUUCAGUAAUUUCGCAGGAAGGUUUAGGGCACGCAAAAUACAUCCUACCAAUGCAAACACAUCGAUAUUAGAAAA